AUGAACGCUAGCGACAGGCCUAACACAUGCAAGUCGAGGGGCAGCACAAGGAGCAAUCUGAGGUGGCGACCGGCGCACGGGUGAGUAACACGUAUGCAACCUGCCUGUAAGCGGGGAAUAACCCGUUGAAAGACGGACUAAUACCGCAUAGUACUAAAUUACUGCAUGGUAAUUUAUUUAAACAUUUAUGGCUUACAGAUGGGCAUGCGCAUGAUUAGCUAGUUGGAGAGGUAACGGCUCCCCAAGGCAACGAUCAUUAGGGGUUCUGAGAGGAAGGUCCCCCACACUGGUACUGAGACACGGACCAGACUCCUACGGGAGGCAGCAGUGAGGAAUAUUGGUCAAUGGACGAGAGUCUGAACCAGCCAAGUCGCGUGCAGGAAGAAUGUUCCCUAUGGAUUGUAAACUGCUUUUGCAGGGGAAUAAAGUGCAUCACGUGUGAUGUUUUGUAUGUACUCUGCGAAUAAGGAUCGGCUAACUCCGUGCCAGCCGCCGC
rnacentral:rRNA from 1 species